rnacentral:rRNA from 1 species
GACGAACGCUGGCGGCGUGCUUAACACAUGCAAGUCGAACGGAAAGGCCCUGCUUUUGUGGGGUGCUCGAGUGGCGAACGGGUGAGUAACACGUGAGUAACCUGCCCUUGACUUUGGGAUAACUUCAGGAAACUGGGGCUAAUACCGGAUAGGAGCUCCUGCUGCAUGGUGGGGGUUGGAAAGUUUCGGCGGUUGGGGAUGGACUCGCGGCUUAUCAGCUUGUUGGUGGGGUAGUGGCUUACCAAGGCUUUGACGGGUAGCCGGCCUGAGAGGGUGACCGGCCACAUUGGGACUGAGAUACGGCCCAGACUCCUACGGGAGGCAGCAGUGGGGAAUAAUGCACAAUGGGCGGAAGCCUGAUGCAGCAACGCCGCGUGCGGGAUGACGGCCUUCGGGUUGUAAACCGCUUUCGCCUGUGACGGAGCGUGAGUGACGGUAAUGGGUAAAGAAGCACCGGCUAACUACGUG